rnacentral:tRNA from 1 species
GGGGAUUUAGCUCAGUGGCAUAAGCACCUGCCUUACAAGCAGGCAGUCUUGAGUUUAAUCUCUG